GACGUAGGGCGCGAGCGUUGUCCGGAUUUAUUGGGCGUAAAGAGCUCGUAGGCGGCUCGUUGCGUCGGCUGUGAAAACCCGCAGCUCAACUGUGGGCUUGCAGCUGAUACGGGCGGGCUGGGAUUCGGUAGGGGAGACUGGAAUCCCUGGUGUAGCGGUGAAAUGCGCAGAUAUCAGGAGGAAUACCCGUGGCGAAGGCGGUCCACUGGGCAUCAACUGACGCUGAGGCGCGAAAGCGUGGGUAGCAAACAGG
rnacentral:rRNA from 1 species